AUGAAGACAAAUACUAGUAGGUAGGGAAAGACAUGAAGACAAAUACUAGUAGGUAGGGAAAGACAUGAAGACAAAUACUAGUAGGUAGGGAAAGACAUGAAGACAAAUACUAGUAGGUAGGGAAAGACAUGAAGACAAAUACUAGUAGGUAGGGAAAGACAUGAAGACAAAUACUAGUAGGUAGGGAAAGACAUGAAGACAAAUACUAGUAGGUAGGGAAAGACAUGAAGACAAAUACUAGUAGGUAGGGAAAGACAUGAAGACAAAUACUAGUAGGUAGGGAAAGACAUGAAGACAAAUACUAGUAGGUAGGGAAAGACAUGAAGACAAAUACUAGUAGGUAGGGAAAGACAUGAAGACAAAUACUAGUAGGUAGGGAAAGACAUGAAGACAAAUACUAGUAGGUAGGGAAAGACAUGAAGACAAAUACUAGUAGGUAGGGAAAGACAUGA